GUCUACGACCAUACCACGUUGAAAGCACGACAUCUCGUCCGAUCUGUCAAGUUAAGCAACGUUGGGCC
rfam:Onchocerca flexuosa genome assembly, scaffold: OFLC_contig0003290